rnacentral:rRNA from 1 species
UACGUAGGGUGCAAGCGUUGUCCGGAAUUAUUGGGCGUAAAGAGCUCGUAGGCGGCUAGUCGCGUCGGCUGUGAAAACCUGGGGCUCAACCCCGGGCCUGCAGCCGAUACGGGCAAGCUAGAAUUCGGUAGGGGAGACUGGAAUUCCUGGUGUAGCGGUGAAAUGCGCAGAUAUCAGGAGGAACACCGGUGGCGAAGGCGGGUCUCUGGGCCGAUAUUGACGCUGAGGAGCGAAAGCGUGGGGAGCGAACAGG